CUAGGGGUGGCUCUGAAGCAAGAAGCAGAGAAAGGCAGUUAUUAAGGGCUGGGCAGCUGCCAAGUUUGCUGAAAGGGAGAAUGUGCCAAACUGGGGUUCUCAUAACAGUUGCCAUCAGCAGCAAUGAAGAAACAGGAGCAUGUGGCACCAGUUCCUCAUGGAGGAGAAAGAGCAGGAGAGAGCUGUGGCACCUGCAGCAACAAGACUCUCAAGGACCAGGCCUUUAACAAUGGUCAACCUCAGGGAGAAGAAAUGGCAUGUAAGAAUGAGACCUUUGGAGCCCUCCUUAUAGACAUGCAGAAAACCCAGAAACCCACCGAGAACUGGAGGGUGUUAUUGAUGUCUGAGAGGGAGAAAGAUAGGUAGCUCUCCAGAGACAGAACUAAAGUAGUCUGGGACAGCAUUGCCAUGACCAGAGACCGAGUGGACAAAGAUGGGGAUAUGCAGAAGCGAUUCUUAGAGGCAAUGAACAGGCAGACUGCUCGGCUGGAGCGCACACUGUUAUUAGGGCAACUUUAUUGUUUGAGGGCCUCACCCAGGACCCAGCCAUGUUCUGCAACCCCUGGAUAAUACAGGGUACUGGGAACACCAUCAGAUGUUCCUUGCUGUAGUCCUGCAGCCUUGUUCCGAGAAGCAAUUCCCUCCCCUGGCCCUGGCGCAGGGCAGCGAGAAUAACAGCAUACAGGAACUGUUCAAAGCAUUCAAUGCAUCUGGCAACUUUAAGCCCCGACAUUCAACCAAGGACUAAAAGAAGCAAAGGCAAGAUGUUCACCCACCUGUGAAGAGAAGCUGCCAUCCCACCCCCACCUCCUGUUAUGUGCUGCCCUCUCCAGCGCACUGUAUUUGAAUUUGACUUUGUUAGCUUUAGAGCUGUUUCAUGUUGCUUUAAUCAGUAUGAACAAAGUUUGUAAUUUAUUUUAAGUGUUUUAUUUUGGUAGUGGUUUCCUGGCAUAAUUUGUGCAUUUAAAAACUGUUUAAAGAGUCACAGAAUCUGCAAGUCUGUGUAUACUUUUUUUUUUUUUUUUUUACAAAAGCAUAAACGUGCACACAGACACAAUAAAGUAAAGGGUGCAACUUCUAGCACCCAUAAAAUCAA